rnacentral:rRNA from 1 species
CAGCCCUAAACGAUGCGCGUUAGGUGUAUCGGUGACCACGAGUCACCGAGGUGCCGAAGGGAAACCGUGAAACGUGCCGCCUGGGAAGUACGGUCGCAAGGCUGAAACUUAAAGGAAUUGGCGGGGGGAGCACCACAACCGGGUGGAGCCUGCGGUUUAAUUGGAUUCAACGCCGGAAAUCUUACCGGGACCGACAGCAACAUGAAGGCCAGGCUGAAGACUUUGCCGGAUUAGCUGAGAGGUGGUGCAUGGGCGUAGUCGUGU